ACCUUUUGUAUAAUGGGUCAGCGAGUUACUUUCAGUGGCGAGGUUAACUGAAUAAGGGAGCCGUAGAGAAAUCGAGUCUGAAUAGGGCGAUAGUCGCUGGGAGUAGACCCGAAACCGGGCGAUCUAGCCAUGUGCAGGAUGAAGGUUGGGUAACACCAACUGGAGGUCCGAACCGGGUAAUGUUGAAAAAUUAUCGGAUGACGUGUGGCUAGGAGUGAAAGGCUAAUCAAGCCCGGAGAUAGCUGGUUCUCCCCGAAAGCUAUUUAGGUAGCGCCUCGUGAAUGAUUACUGGGGGUAGAGCACUGUUUCGGCUAGGGGGCUGUCAUGGCUUACCAAACCGAUGCAAACUCCGAAUACCGGCUAAUUGAAUCACGGGAGACACACGGCGGGUGCUAACGUCCGUCGUGGAGAGGGAAACAACCCAGACCGCCAGCUAAGGUCCCCAAGUACUAGUUAAGUGGGAAACGAUGUGGGAAGGCAUAGACAGCCAGGAGGUUGGCUUAGAAGCAGCCACCCUUUAAAGAAAGCGUAAUAGCUCACUGGUCGAGUCGGCCUGCGCGGAAGAUGUAACGGGGCUAAAACUAGUCACCGAAGCUGCGGAUGUGCGCGAAGGCGCACGUGGUAGGGGAGCGUUCUGUAGGCUGAUGAAGGUGCAUUGAGAAGUGUGCUGGAGGUAUCAGAAGUGCGAAUGCUGACAUGAGUAACGAUAAUGUGGGUGAAAAGCCCACACGCCGGAAGUCCCAGGUUUCCUGCACGACGUUAAUCGGAGCAGGGUGAGUCGGCCCCUAAGGCGAGGCUGAAGAGCGUAGUCGAUGGGAACCAGGUUAAUAUUCCUGGACUUUUUAUAAGUGGUGAAGUGGGGACGAAGAAGGCUAGGUGAGCCAGGCGUUGGUUGUCCUGGUACUUGCAUGUAGGGGGGAAGACUUGGCAAAUCCGGUUUUCCAUAACUCUGAGGUGCGAAGUGGUUCUGACCUUUUGGUACAGAGAAGUCAUUGAUGCCCGGCUUCCAGGAAAAGCUGCUAGCCAUAACUUAUAGAGAACCGUACCGCAAACCGACACAGGUGGACAGGUAGAGAAUACUAAGGCGCUUGAGAGAACUCGGGUGAAGGAACUAGGCAAAAUGGUACCGUAACU
rnacentral:rRNA from 1 species